AUGAGAGACGAUGUAGCCAUGACGUGACCACAUAACACAGGGCCCUUUAAGCUGCCUUGGUGUCUGCCUGAACCUUUCAAUAGUGAUGCCGUGUUAUGAGUCUUAAGGACAGCUGAAAUCUUUAAGGUCCCUGAAAAUGGCUACAGUA
ensembl:snoRNA